rnacentral:rRNA from 1 species
CCUACGGGUGGCAGCAGUGGGGAAUAUUGCACAAUGGGGGAAACCCUGAUGCAGCGACGCCGCGUGAGUGAAGAAGUAACUCGUUAUGUAAAGCUCUAUCAGUAGGGAAGUAAAUGAUGGUACCUGUGCAAGAAGCCCUGGCCAACUACGUGCCAGCAGCCGCGGUAAUACGGAGGGGGCAAGCGUUAUCCGGAUUUACUGGGUGUAAAGGGAGCGUAGACGGCAGUGCAAGUCCGGAGUGAAAGGCGGGGGCUCAACCCCCGGACUGCUCUGGAAACUGUACGGCUGGAGUACAGGAGAGGUAAGGGGAAUUCGUGGUGUAGCGGUGAAAUGCGUAGAUAUUAGGAAGAACCCCAGUGGCGAAGGCGGCUUACUAGACUGUAACUGACGUUGAGGCUCGAAAGCGUGGGGAGCAAACAGGAUUAGAUACCCGAGUAGUC